CCAGUGAGGGUGGCCAUCUUGGGCCCAGUGGUACCAUGCGCCUGCCGCCAUAGGUCUCCAAUUGUUAGCCCUGGACUGGGCUUGUCUGGUCUGAGCUUUUUGCUUCUGCGUCCCAUCAGGGUCUUGGUGGCAAGGGUGGUCCCCUUAGACACUGUGGGUGCAAUUAAGUUGAAUAUUUCACCCGAUAUUGGCUGUCGUGGAGAGGAGCUCUAGAAACGUGCGACCAG